rnacentral:tRNA from 1 species
ACAAGGAUGGCUGAGUGGUUUAGACAUUGGAAUUAAAGUCCAAUGAACAGUAUGUUCUUGUGGGUUCCAACCCCAUUCCUCGAA